rnacentral:rRNA from 1 species
UACGUAGGGGGCUAGCGUUGUCCGGAAUCAUUGGGCGUAAAGAGCGCGUAGGCGGCCAGAUAAGUCCGGUGUGAAAGUCACAGGCUCAACCUGUGAAUGCCGCUGGAAACUGUCUGGCUAGAGUCCGGAAGGGGCGAGUGGAAUUCCUGGUGUAGCGGUGAAAUGCGCAGAUAUCAGGAGGAACACCAAUGGCGAAGGCAGCUCGCUGGGACGGUACUGACGCUGAGACGCGAAAGCGUGGGGAGCGAACAGG